UUGCCUUUCGUUUUAUGUUUGUUCAAGAUGUUACAAUUGUGUGGGGAAAUUGUGUGAAGGUCGGAUGUGUAGAAAAAUCAUUCCCUAAAGGAGUAAAUAUCUCCUGUUGAGGCAGCAAUUCUGGACUUAAUAGCCUGCAACACAAAUGAAGCAGACUAGCUUUAGGGUUCAGUGAUUCUUAAAAGCCUUGUCUGCCUUUCAGCAGCUUAUUGACCGGCGUACAAAAGACCCCAAUGAGAUCUGAUUUAUACUGCGGCCUUUGCAUGGUUUUGUCUGUAUGGAAACAAAACAUGGAAUAUUAGGAUGUCUACUCAAGCAGAAGAAAAUGGAACACCAUUCCUGUCUGUCAUGACAGCAGAUGAAAUGAAUUCUCCUGCUAUUUCCAGUUGCGUGCUUCCUGACAACUGUCACUUCAACAGCUACUCCCAUCAGAGUCAAACAUUGUAGAGUGACUGUUUUGAUGAGUGAUAAUGCUGGUUGCUGCCUCUGUUGAGAGAGCAAUUUGGAGUAACAGAGGAAGUGCUCACGCAAUAACAUCUGCAUUUACAAUUUCUGCCCCAAUACUUAGGAGCUGGGGCAGAGUGGAAAAAUUACAUAGGAAAUUUAUGGCAUUUGUUUUGCUAUUCAAUCACUGGUUACUCCUGUUGCAACAUGUUUGUACAGAGAAGAUAAGUGGUUAUAAUUAUACAAGCCUCCAGCUUGCACGCCACCCAUGCUGUGCCCACUUGCCCAGCCAAUGACCUUCAUGAAAGAGCUGAAAAGCUUUGCUGAUUUCUCCACCCAGCUGAGCUCCAUUAUUCCGAGGCCUCCUUUUGUGGCUUCCUUUGAUCUGAGAAUGCAUAUAUGGCACCCUGGAGCGGACGAAUCUCGAUCAUAGCUGGAAAAGAAAGCACCGGGGUGAACUUCAAGCCAGGUUAAAGCAUCGAGGCCCAUGAGCCGGAAAUGAACCAGUAAUCAGCCUCACUACCCUGCACCAGCGAAGAUUCCCCACUUGAGCCCAUCCUCUUUGCCUGUGUUUGACUUGUCUCCCUCUCCUCUUGCUACUACCAUCAGGUGGAAAGUGCAGGAGUCUUGGGUCCCACUCGACCAGGCUCGGAAAUAUUGUUGCCCUACUUCCAUCCUGGACCGGUGUGGAUGGUUUCACUCUUAACGGCACUGAACUGCCAUUGUUAUGCAUGGUUCUUAUGUGGAUUUUUUUGCAUUCUUUAUUUUCCUGUGGGUGCCUGCAAGAAAAUGAAUCUCAAGUUUGCAUAUGGUGUACAUAUGAAUGAACUCUUUUCGGGCUUCCAGCUGAGUCCAGGUAUUGAUUUUAACUGACGUUUCAAGAGGCUUCAAUAGGUUUCCAAUAGGUACAUUUAAUGUCAGAGAAAUGUAUACAAUAUACAUCUUGAAAUUCUUUUUCUUCACAAACAUCCCCGAAAACAGAGAAGUGCCCCAAAGAAUGAAUGACAGUUAAAAUGUUAGCAACCCAAAGUCCCCCCAGCUCUCUCCAUCCACGUAUAAGCAGCAUUAAGGGAACAAACCCCCCCCACCAGCAAAAAAAAAGCAUCAGCGUACUCCACUGAGCACUCAGCAAGCAUCAAUAAAAACACAGACCUGCAAUACCCCAAAUACAACUCGUUCACCAGCUAACUCAACAUGUCACAGGCUCUCUCUCUCUCUCUCUAAUAAGGGAAAAAGAGGUGUCCCCAUUUCACAGCGAGAGGGGAGACAUAACAAACAACUCACUGAUUUACAACUCUGUUGAGUUGCUUUUUCCAAGCUCUGUGCCAAAAAAGCACUGCUGUCCGGACACACAACCCCUGGUAGCUAACCCACAGCUCCCAAUGUUCCAUGCUUUCCUGCAAUGCUUCAGUUAGGGGCACUAGCCUGGAAUGAACACAUCUCUCAAGCCACAAAAAUCUGGAACCCUGAAGGCGCACUCCCUUCCAGGUCGCAUCCUUGGGAUAUCAAAAAGCAGCCAGUUGUGAGGCCCUGAGAGUGGGUCCCACUCCCGCAAAGAAUUAAUUAAAGUCAGAGUGUAAUUCCAGGUCAGGGCCUUGAAAAGGGGGGGGGGGGAAAAAAAGAGAUAUUAAAGAUAAAAAUAGAACUGUUUCUAAACAUGCAAACCAAGGAGUCACUGUUUAGCGCCAUCUUGACCUUGCUCCACCUCUUCAACAAACUCUGCUAUCUUAAUCAGGGAUGACGCCUGGGCAUGUCUAGUCCGGUGGUAUUUAUACCCCCCCAUCACCUGUCCCUCCUGAUUGGUUAGCUCCCAUCCACCUAUGAAGGUGUCAUCAACAUACCUGAAGAGUCAUUUGGGGCGUAUGGGUGAUGAACUCAGAAUUCUCUCCUGAAAGUCCUCCAUGUAGAGAUUAGCAAAAGCCUGGCCAAGGGCAAUCCCAUGGCCAGAGUAGUUCCCCUUAUCGAAGAAGAACUUUGAUGUAAGGGUGUGUUCAAAAAGGUCAAUGGUAUGCUUAUCAAACCUUGACUGCAAGAGAACAAAACUGUCCUUAACAGGAACUCUUGUGAACAGAGACACCACAUCGAAACCAUUUUAUUAGGGGCUGUGAGCAUCACAUCACAAAUUUGCCUGACUUAGUAAAAACAAUAAUUAACAUCCCGUUGACCCUAGAGGACAUAAUGAUCAGUUUCAGUAUGUAUAAAAACAAUAGUUGUUGGCAUGGGGGAUUUCAACUUUCCUAAUAUAAACUGGGACCUCCUUAGUGUAAGAGGUUUAGAUGGGGCUGAAUUUCUUAAGUGUAUCCAGGAAGGUUUCUUACAUCAAUAGGUGGACAAUCAAAUGAGAGGAGGGCCCAUACUGGACCUGGUAUUGGGUAAUCAGCCUGACCAGGAGACUGAUCCUUCAGUGGGUGAGCAGUAAGCUAACAGUGACCACAACUCCUUAUCUUUCAGGAUAGUCAUAGAUAAGGAUAGAUAUGGUCCUUGUGAAAGAGUUUAAAUUUGAGUAGGGCAAAUUACAAGAGCAUCAGGCAGGAACUAAGAAGAGUUAAUUGGAAACACCUUUUCUCUGGCAAGUUCACAUCAGAUAUGUUAAAGGAAAAUGGGGGUGGAAAGAUAAAAGAAACUUGGGUGUACCGAGAGGUGAAGAAUUUAGUCAAGAAGAAAAAGUAAAAGUAUGUAAAGCUUCAGAAGCCAGGAUCAAACGAAGCACAUGAGAAUUAUAAAGAUGCCUGAAAAGAACUAAAGGAGGGAAUUAGGAAAGCCAGGAGGGGCUAUGAGAAGUCCUUGGCAAGUAGGGUUUAGGUGACUCCGAAGGCAUUCUAUACACACAUUAAGAACGAGGAUAACUAGGGAGAGGGUAUGACCACUCUUUGAUAAAGGGGGGAACAUUUGCUUGGAUGCAAAGAAUUUGUGCGAGCUGCUUAAUGAGUAGUUUGGUUCAGUAUUUAUCAAAGAAAAGGAUUUAGAGGAGCAGGAGAUCAGUGAUGAGUGUAUACAUAUAUUUUGGUGUUUAGUGGUCAAGGAGGAAGAAAUGUUGGGGCUCCAAGGAGUAUUGAAAUGAAAACUCCCCACAGCUGGAUGGAAUUUACCCCAGAUUAUUGAAGGAAGCAAGAGAUGAGAUUGCUGGGCUGUUGACCAGUAACUUUGUAGCACACACUCAGCAGGCCAGGCAGCAUCUAUGGAAAAGUGUAAAUAAUCGAUGUUUUUGGCCAAGACUCUCUCAUCUUUGUGCUACUGUUAGCUUUGUGUCCUCUCCAGCCAAGGGUGAGGUCCUGCAAGACUGGUGAGCGGCUAAUAUCGUACCUCUAUCUAAGAAGGGAACAAGGGAAAAUCCUGGAAACUAUCGACUGCAGGUAGACCUCUACAUCCGGCAAUAGCAGAGUAUUGCCAAUCUAAGACCUGAAAUGAAUGUAGAAAGGUGAGGCCUAAUUCAUCCCAGACAACACCAUGCCCACGAGAUCAUUUUGCACAAGAAAUAAAGUGCUGGCACUGAAGCUUCAAGGAAUUGGAUACAUUUUCCAACAAAAGGGAGCCUUCCUGUAAAUAUGAUGGAAUGAAAGGAAUCUGCAUUUGAAGGAUUAGCAGGUAACCAAAGUGAUAGAGCCAGCAGGAAUGGGAACUACAUUAUAAGUGCAUCAUCCACCAAAUUAUUAAUAGUUCAAAAAUUGUUGUAGUGUACAGAUCUAUUUCUUUUAGCACAAUGGCUCCACUUAGCACCAAUUAUUGACUGAUAACUGACCCACGUGCAUUGACUUAUUGGUCCCUCUGCAAAGUGAAUACUCAAGUUAACUUCACCUCUGAGUGCAUGACUUUGUUUAUUUGUUAUGUAGUUGUACGGAUACAACAAAUUGGCGAUGAGUAUGAUUCUGAAUGUCAGCAUAUAUAACCAACUGCACCGACAGUUCUGAGAUGACUGAACACGGAGGACGGGAGAGAGACAGCCAGAGGAAAGAGUGAACCAGUACAGAGAUGCUGUCGUGGAAGCUAACAAAAGGAUGCGUGAGUGACAGUGCACAGUGAGAGACACACAACUAGCAAACUAAUGUGAAAAUAAUGUGACAAUAGCAUUUGUUGGGAAAGUUAAUGAAUCUGACAUGCUAAUGAGUAAUGGGAAUUGUAUAUUGAGUAAGUUGAACUGUAUUGUAAUGCUAACAACAUGGAUGAAGAAAAGAAAGUCUCCACAUUUCUUAGUUUAGUGGGUGCUAAACCUUCGCAAACUAGUGACUCCUGAGAAGCCAGCAUGCAUGACAUUCGAUGAAAUUGUUGAAAGUUUACAAUAUCACUUGAGCCCAAAACCACUAGCAAUAGCUGAGAGAUUCAGAGUUCACAGAAGGAACUGGUCAAAGGAUGAAUGCAUUCUUGAAUACAUCUGAGAACCGCACAAACUUUCCAAAUACUGUAACUUUGGAGAGCUCAAAAUGUACCCCCAGAUGCACCUUUACUCCCAUGGGUGUGGCCGUCAUCACAAUGGCAAAGAGUACAUAUUGACCUUGCUGGGCCAUUCAUGCACUCCAUGUUUCUGAUUGCUGUGAAUGCUCAUUUGAAGUGCUGGAGGUCAUAAAAUGAAGUCAACCACAUCAGAAAAGACUGUUUUCACUCUGAGGACUAUCAUCUCCAAAAAGGGCUUACUUAAACAAAUUGUGAGCGACAAUGAAUCACAAUACGCAACAGAAGAGUUCAGACUCCCCAUGAAGAAAAAUGGCAUCAAACAUUUCAAGUCAGGUCUUCACCAUCCAGUAAUGAAUGGGUUAGCUGAAAGGCUUGUCCACACGCUCAAGAUGUCCAUUAAAGCAAAGGACAAGAAGGACAUUUCUCUUUAGCACAAAGUGGACCACUUCUUUUUGUGCAUCAGAACUCUGAUCAUGUGCCAACAAGUCAAAGACCUACAAUGCUGCUCAUGAACAGGAAUCUGAGAUCUUGCAUAGACUCCUGAAACCAGAUCUGCGGAGCAAAGUGCAGAAUAAGCAGUUCAACCAGUUGCCCAGAAAAUCAGCAAGGAGCUUCGAGGUUGGACACGAAAUCACAGCAUGUAAUUACCUAGAAGACAAGUGGACACACGGUAGGAUAGCUACAAGAAUUGGAUCAUGGAUGUACGCAGUGGAGGUUGGAGGUCAUACAUGGAAACGUUAUAUAGACCAGACACUCGGUGCUCAGCCAAAGAACACACUUGGGUUGUCUGCAUCCAACAAGAUAAACACAUUACAUCCACCAACUUACCUCUCAGUGAGGAUAAUGUCACUAACAGUAACAUGACACCUACAACAGAGAAAGUUGUCUUUGAUAAGACACCUGCCAAACCGAAUGCUACUCCACAGGUCCAGGGGCAUGAUCUUGAAAGAAGCAGAGCGCCACCAAAAAGACAGGAUCUUUAGUGUAGUGAAGUUAGUUAUGGACUGUUAUUUUAACACUGUUGUUGUGGAAGCAUGUUUAUUUGAAAAUGGUCUGCUAAAGGGAAAUUGAAUGUUUUAUUACAUAUACAGCUUUAUGUUACAUUAAUCUAAAGGAGGAUGAUGUAGUGUAACGCGUGGAUCUAUUUCUUUUAGCACAAUUACUCCCCUUAGCACUAAUUAUUGACUGUUAACUUUAAUUUGUUGCUCUCUCUGCAAAAUGAAUAUACAAGUUAACUUGCCCUCUGAGUGCAUGUCUUUAUUUAUUUGAAAUGUAGUUGUACAGACACGACAUUUGUUACAGCUGAUUUUUGCUUUGUACUCAUUGUAGGUCACAUUACUACAAAGAUCAUAAUGUUUUGAUGCA